ACGCUGGCGGCACGCCUAACACAUGCAUGUCGAACGAAGUAGCAAUACUUAGUGGCAGACGGGUGAGUAACAUGUAGGUAUCUGCCCUUUGGCCUGGAAUAACACGAGGAAACUUGUGCUAAUACCGGAUAAGUCUUUACAGAGAAAGCUUUAUGCACCAUUGGAUGAGCCUGCACUUGAUUAGUUUGUUGGUGGGGUAAUGGCCUACCAAGACUGUGAUCAAUAGCUGAUUUGAGAGGAUGAUCAGCCACAUUGGGACUGAGACACGGCCCAAACUCCUACGGGAGGCAGCAGUGGGGAAUCUUGCACAAUGGAGGAAACUCUGAUGCAGCGAUGCCGCGUGAGUGAAGAAGGCCUUUGGGUUGUAAAGCUCUUUCGUCGGGGAAGAAAAUGACUGUACCCGAAUAAGAAGGUCCGGCUAACUUCGUGCCAGCAGCCGCGGUAAUACGAAGGGACCUAGCGUAGUUCGGAAUUACUGGGCUUAAAGAGUUCGUAGGUGGUUGAAAAAGUUAGUGGUGAAAUCCCAGAGCUUAACUCUGGAACUGCCAUUAAAACUUUUCAGCUAGAGUAUGAUAGAGGAAAGCAGAAUUUCUAGUGUAGAGGUGAAAUUCGUAGAUAUUAGAAAGAAUACCGAUUGCGAAGGCAGCUUUCUGGAUCAUUACUGACACUGAGGAACGAAAGCAUGGGUAGCGAAGAGGAUUAGAUACCCUCGUAGUCCAUGCCGUAAACGAUGUGUGUUAGACGUUGGAAAUUUAUUUUCAGUGUCGCAGGGAAACCGAUAAACACACCGCCUGGGGAGUACGACCGCAAGGUUAAAACUCAAAUGAAUUGACGGGGACCCGCACAAGUAGUGGAGCAUGUGGUUUAAUUCGAAGAUACGCGCAGAACCUUACCAACACUUGACAUGUUCGUCGCGACUCUAAGAGAUUAGAGUUUUCGGUUCGGCCGGACGAAACACAGGUGCUGCAUGGCUGUCGUCAGCUCGUGUCGUGAGAUGUUGGGUUAAGUCCCGCAACGAGCGCAACCCUCACUUUUAGUUGCCAUCAUUAAGUUGGGCACUCUGAAAGAACUGCCAGUGAUAAGCUGGAGGAAGGUGGGGAUGACGUCAAGUCCUCAUGGCCCUUACGUGUUGGGCUACACACGUGCUACAAUGGUAUCUACAACAGGAAGCAAAACUGCGAAGUUAAGCAAAUCCCUAAAAGAUACCUCAGUUCGGAUUGCACUCUGCAACUCGAGUGCAUGAAGCUGGAAUUACUAGUAAUCGUGGAUCAGCGUGCCACGGUGAAUGCGUUCCCGGGUCUUGCACUCACCGCCCGUCA
rnacentral:rRNA from 1 species